UACAGGGGGGUGCAAACGUUGCUCGGAAUCAUUGGGCGUAAAGCGCACGUAGGCGGUUCGUUAUGUCGGAUGUGAAAGCCCUUGGCUUAACCGAGGAAGUGCAUCCGAAACUGGCGAGCUAGAGUACGAAAGAGGAUCGCGGAAUUCCCGGUGUAGAGGUGAAAUUCGUAGAUAUUCGGAAGAACACCAGUGGCGAAGGCGGCCAACUGGUCCGGCACUGACGCUGAGGUGCGAAAGCGUGGGGAGCAAACAGG
rnacentral:rRNA from 1 species